CCUACGGGUGGCAGCAGUGAGGAAUAUUGGUCAAUGGCCGGAAGGCUGAACCAGCCAAGCCGCGUGAAGGACGAAGGUGCCAAGCAUUGUAAACUUCUUUUGUCAAGGGACAAAAUCAGGCUCGAGAGCCUGACCGAGGGUACUUGAAGAAAAAGCAUCGGCUAACUCCGUGCCAGCAGCCGCGGUAAUACGGAGGAUGCGAGCGUUAUCCGGAUUUAUUGGGUUUAAAGGGUGCGCAGGCGGAGGCACAAGUCAGCGGUAAAAUCGCGGGGCUCAACCCCGCUCCGCCGUUGAAACUGUGUCCCUUGAGUGCGCGAAGGGUAGGCGGAAUGCGUGGUGUAGCGGUGAAAUGCAUAGAUAUCACGCAGAACUCCGAUCGCGAAGGCAGCCUACCGGCGCGCAACUGACGCUCAUGCACGAAAGCGUGGGUAUCGAACAGGAUUAGAUACCCUUGUAGUC
rnacentral:rRNA from 1 species